GGAAAGGAAAGGGAAGGGAAGGGGAGGGGAGGGGAAGGGAGGAGAGGGGAGGAGAGGAGAGGAAAAAGGAAAAAGAAGGAAAAAGGAAAAAGGAAAAAGGAAAAGGAAAGGAAAGGAAAAGAAAGAAAAGAAAAGAGAAAAGGAACUCUAUAAAAUAAGUAGACCCUUUUAAAAUUUUGCCAUGGGAUUUUUAUUAUAUUUAUCAUAUUAUUCUUAUCUCUCUUGUCCCUUCCCCUCACAUUAAUCUCUUUUCUCAACUUGUUUCUUUUUCUUUUUUUAAAAAUAAUAUCUCUUAUUAUAUGGUUUCAUAUAUGUGUAACCAUGUAUACUUAUCAUCAUCUCUCUCCCCCCUCAUGUUCUCCCCCUUUUUGACUUUGUAACCACUGUGUCCUCCAAUCAGUGCUGUCUGCUGGAAUGUUCAUUGACCAUGUUCCCCCAUCUUGUGUGGGCAACUAUAGCUGCAGUGAAGGCAAUGGCCGUGUCACACACAGAAGACACCAUUCCAUAGCGUGUCUCCCCAUCCCCUGGCUCUUACAUUCUUUUCUUUCCCACUUCCAUGAUGGUUCCUGAGCCUUGAGGAGUGGCGGUUGACACAGACAUCCCAUUUAUAGGAGACUGGAGAUGCUGUAGAGAGAUAGCUGGUCCCAGAGCACGCCCUGAAGGAGGGAGCGCAACCAUCUGUGUUCUGUGGGAAACCUGAGAGCAACAACGCAGGUUGUUCCAAUUUUGUGGGAAAAUAUGGAGGACAAAUAGGCCUUGAGUGCUCAGACCAUGUGUCUUUAAAUAACAGAGAGGACACAAAUUGGUAAACACCAGACCAUGAAUUUAAACUAAAGUUGCUGAACCAAACCACUCAAAUGCCUUUUCCUAGAAGCUGAAGUGUCCAGGUCAGCCAUCGGGCAGCCGCUGAUAGCCAGCUUUGGGGGGGAUUUCCUCUCCUGAACCCUGAAAUCCCCUUCUCUCCAGCUCAGGUGGUUACAUCACUGGUUUUGGAGGCUCCUAAGAAAACUGCUGAGAUGGGUACCCUAAAUGUCUGAGACCUUGCACAGGGUAUAAGAGGAAGGAAGGUGGGGAUCAAUGUGCUACCCUGAAGCUGUUGUCACCAGCCCUGGAAAAGGUUCCAAAGAAACAAGUGGCAGCGAGGGCAAGAGACC
rnacentral:lncRNA from 1 species